rnacentral:rRNA from 1 species
CAGAUUGUAAGGAAUCGUACCCCAAACCGACACAGGUGGUCGGGUAGAGAAUACCAAGGCGCUUGAGAGAACUCGGGUGAAGGAACUAGGCAAAAUGGUACCGUAACUUCGGGAGAAGGUACGCUCUCGACGGUGAAGUCCCUUGCGGAUGGAGCUAUUGAGAGUCGCAGAUACCAGGUGGCUGCAACUGUUUAUUAAAAACACAGCACUGUGCAAAAUCGUAAGAUGACGUAUACGGUGUGACGACAGCCCGG